UGGGGAAUAUUGCACAAUGGGGGAAACCCUGAUGCAGCGACGCCGCGUGAACGAAGAAGGUAUUCGUAUCGUAAAGUUCUGUCCUAUGGGAAGAUAAUGACAGUACCAUAGAAGAAAGCUCCGGCUAAAAACGGGCCAGCAGCCGCGGUAAUACGUAUGGAGCGAGCGUUGUCCGGAAUUAUUGGGCGUAAAGGGUACGCAGGCGGUUUAAUAAGUCGAAUGUUAAAGAUCGGGGCUCAACCCCGUAAAGCAUUGGAAACUGAUAAACUUGAGUAGUGGAGAGGAAAGUGGAAUUCCUAGUGUAGUGGUGAAAUACGUAGAUAUUAGGAGGAAUACCAGUAGCGAAGGCGGCUUUCUGGACACAAACUGACGCUGAGGUACGAAAGCGUGGGGAGCAAACAGG
rnacentral:rRNA from 1 species